UACGUAGGGUGCAAGCGUUGUCCGGAAUUAUUGGGCGUAAAGAGCUCGUAGGCGGUUUGUUGCGUCGGCCGUGAAAACCUGCAGCUUAACUGUGGGCCUGCGGCCGAUACGGGCAGACUUGAGUUCGGUAGGGGAGACUGGAAUUCCUGGUGUAGCGGUGAAAUGCGCAGAUAUCAGGAAGAACACCCGUGGCGAAGGCGGCUCUCUGGUACGUGACUGACGCUGAGACGCGAAAGCGUGGGGAGCAAACAGG
rnacentral:rRNA from 1 species